CACAUGACUCUCGGCAACGGAUAUCUCGGCUCUCGCAUCGAUGAAGAACGUAGCAAAAUGCGAUACCUGGUGUGAAUUGCAGAAUCCCGUGAACCAUCGAGUUUUUGAACGCAAGUUGCGCCUGAGGCCUUUUGGCCGAGGGCACGUCUGCCUGGGCGUCACGC
rnacentral:rRNA from 1 species